GUAAGUUGUUUUGAUGCUGAUACUGGGAGCUGGUAAACUGAUAACUGAGCGACAGCAGCUGCCGAGGAAGCCCGCGGGCUGCAGUGUUGGCUUGGGUAUUAGGUGGUGCAGAAAUAACCAGCUGUCCCUGUGCUCCCCCAGCGGUCCUACGGUGGUGACUUGUCUACAGUAUUACACAGCAGAUAAAACCAUCAGGCGAAGCCAAAAGAAAGAACAGUAGAGGCAGGUGCAUGUGUGUCCAUCUGAGCAUCAGACCUGCUAGGACUCCAUCUUUGUGAACAUUCAUUGUUGGGGCUCUGGAGUCUGGUGCUGCUUUUAGCCAAGAGACCUGGUCAACAUUGUGCAUCAGCCUGACUGUGAUGGCAUUCUGCAUCAUGGCUAUCUGCAGUCAACUCACCCGGCAACAGCACCCCAGACCUUUCUGCUCCUCUUUAAUUAUAACUCAGAGCCUCGCAAUGAGCAUUUUCCCUCUGUGAUGGUCCACUUUGUCAACUUGACACCAUCUACGAUGACCUGAGAAGAGAGUGAUUAAAUUGGCCAGUGGCUGUGGCUGUGAGUAAAUCAAUGUGAGAAGACCCAUCCCACUGUGGGCAGCACCAUUCCCUAGGUAUCCUGAACUAUCUAAGAAUGGAGAAGUGAGUUACGAACAAGCAAGUGAUGCAUGCAUUCAUUUCUUUCUGCCCUUGAUUGUGAAAAUGAUGUGACUAGACACUUCCGAUUCCUGCCAUUGUGACUUCCCUGGAACCUGGAACUGUGAGCCAAAACAAACCCUUUCUCCUCUGGUUUCAUCAGACUACUUUAUCAGAGUAACAGAAAUGAAACAGUAGAUUGCAUUUCUUCUCCACCUUCAAUGAGUGUCCUAUUAUAAGUUAAACCUUGGAACAACAAAAAAGUCAUUAGGAAAACAUAAUAGCAGCUGUUAAUUCUAUAUGAGAAAAAUAAAGACUAUUUUUAUUCUUCUCUUUA